GACAAACGCUGGCGGCGUGCCUAAUACAUGCAAGUCGAGCGAAUCUUUUGGGAGCUUGCUCCCUUAAGGUUAGCGGCGGACGGGUGAGUAACACGUGGGUAACCUGCCUGUAAGACUGGGAUAACUUCGGGAAACCGGAGCUAAUACCGGGUACUUUCUUUUCUCGCAUGAGGGAGGAUGGAAAGAUGGUUCUGCUAUCACUUACAGAUGGACCCGCGGCGCAUUAGCUAGUUGGGGAGGUAACGGCUCACCAAGGCGACGAUGCGUAGCCGACCUGGGCGGGUGAUCGGCCACACUGGGACUGAAACACGGCCCAGACUCCAACGGGAGGCAGCAGUAGGGAAUCUUCCGCAAUGGACGAAAGUCUGACGGAGCAACGCCGCGUGAGCGAAGAAGGCCUUCGGGUCGUAAAGCUCUGUUGUUAGGGAAGAACAAGUACGAGAGUAACUGCUCGUACCUUGACGGUACAUAACCAGAAAGCCACGGCUAACUACGUGCCAGCAGCCGCCGCCGUAA
rnacentral:rRNA from 1 species